AAAUUCGGAUUAAUGCUCCAUGGUUUAUCGAUAUGGCAUCGUAUUGAUAAUAAAGAUUUAUCGGUAUAAGAUGGGCAUGCGUAUCAUUAGCUAGUUGGUGUGGUAACGGCAUACCAAGGCAACGAUGAUUAGGGGUCCUGAGAGGGAGAUCCCCCACACUGGUACUGAGACACGGACCAGACUCCUACGGGAGGCAGCAGUGAGGAAUAUUGGUCAAUGGAGGCAACUCUGAACCAGCCAUGCCGCGUGCAGGAUGACGGUCCUAUGGAUUGUAAACUGCUUUUGUACAGGAAGAAACCUCCCUACGAGUAGGGACUUGACGGUACUGUAAGAAUAAGGAUCGGCUAACUCCGUGCCAGCAGCCGCGGUAAUACGGAGGAUCCGAGCGUUAUCCGGAAUUAUUGGGUUUAAAGGGUUCGUAGGCGGCUUUGUAAGUCAGUGGUGAAAUUUCCUAGCUUAACUAGGACACUGCCAUUGAUACUGCAGAGCUUGAAUAAUAUGGAAGUAACUAGAAUAUGUAGUGUAGCGGUGAAAUGCUUAAAUAUUACAUGGAAUACCAAUUGCGAAGGCAGGUUACUACGUAUUUAUUGACGCUGAUGAACGAAAGCGUGGGGAGCGAACAGGAUUAGAUACCCUGGUAGUCCACGCCG
rnacentral:rRNA from 1 species